AAUUUGUAUUGUUUAUUUCUUGUCAUUGCGACUUUGACGCAGCUGUUGUCAUGACAACAGAUAACAAAACAUGUUUUGUUGAAGGAUUAUUGAUGAAUAAUUUUCCACAAAAAAAUGGAUUUUAACCACGAUAGGAAAAUGAGAACCUGCGCCUAUCCGUUUAAACCGAUUGUAGAAUUUAUGGAAAGAUAUGGCGAUCUGAGUAAGCCCACUGAAGGGCCCCAAGAAAGAGCCAACAAUAGUCAACGGUGGGUGGAACUAACGGACACGCGAACGUGAAAUGCUGAUGCCACCGGCGACACGAAAACUACUGAGAAAUUGAGAAAAGUGUGGAGUGACUUUAAACAUCAAGAAGAAGGCAACUCGCAUACACAGAGCUGCCAAGGGAACACUGGAUUGGUGGCGGUCCAGGUUCUUCCCUGAAGCCAAAGGAUUUAGAGCAGAGUGCUUGUAAAUAACUACUUGUAAAUUAAAUCCAUAAUAAAGACCUAGGGUAACUGGAU